UGUCCAGCCAGCCUUGCAAACAGACGCCAGGAACCAGAGCCAGAAAAAAAACAGAAUGAUGGAGCCCAAGGGGAAUAGGGUGGGAGGCUUCUGAGGGCUGGGGGCUUUUGUUAAUGAUAUCUUAGAAAUCAUUAAACUGAUCAAGACAUAUGAAUGUGAUCUUUUAAUAACUAAAAGUUAUAUAACUACAGCCGGGCGCAGUGGCUCACGCCUGUAAUCCCAGCACUUUGGGAGGCCAAGGUGGGUGGAUCACGAGGUCAGGAGUUCGAGAACAGC
rnacentral:lncRNA from 1 species